GCAGGAGUGGUGGAAUGGUAUACACGCAGGACUUAAAAUCCUGUGCGGUUAAUCCCGCUUGUGGGUUCGAGUCCCACCUCCUGUACCA
rnacentral:tRNA from 3 species